CCUUGAAUUUGUACCCAAGCUGUAGAAACAAUAACAUCACUGAACCCACAAUACUUUUGUCGCGUUUCGCGGAUAGAAGUUGUUCUGCCGCGUUGUUUCCAGCCGAGUAAUUGAUCACCUCAAGUAGGAUUCUCUCUAGGUCUUGACUUCUCUCCGACCGCAUUCUCAUCCUCCCAACAGUGUAAAACACUCUCUCAUCCGAAAUCAGAUUUCACCCCACAUUACACCACACCGACUCUUCCCUACACACGUAGAAGAAGAACCGAAGAAAACAUUUAACAAGGAGGGAGAAAAUAUUUCUAUUCAAUACGGCAACUGCAUGAAAGCUUUUUUUUUAGAACUUAAAAAAAAUAUCAUUAUCUUGUAGUGGGCUAGAGUAUAAAAAAUCUAGAAAAGUUUUGAAGUUCGGUAACAAAAGUACACCAAAAUAACUAAAGUUAGGUUGCAGCCAAAAGUACACUAUAAGAGGGUAUCUUUUAUUUCUUAUACGUUUUAAGUAUGUCAAGUGGGUGACCACUGGAGACGUACUAUGUCACAUGAUGGCCGAACAACGACGUAAUGAGACUGCGACGGUGCCGUCCUCGGCGGGGCGGCGGCCAGUCUACGUACGAGGACGCGCGGCGUCGGCGGCGUGUUGGUCCGGCGCGUCCACGUCGUUGUCUACCGGCCGCGGCAGGGCUCGCGAUGGUGCGUUUGGUCGCGCUCGUGUUCGCGGUGACGGUCGCGGGUUGAGCCCGUUGCUGCCGGCGGCGUCGACCGAGGGGGCCAACGACAGCCAGAGGGGUCGAGUUCUUCUCCUGGUAGGCGUGCGGGCCGACGUAGCUGUGGCGCAGGGACGGUGGCGUCACAGCGCGCGACCAGCAGCGGGCACGGUCGGUGUGACGCGAGGCAGCUACGAGGCGGCCACGCGAGCGGCAACGGCCUAGGAGGCGCCGACCACGCCACAGGCCACUGCUCCUAGACUUCCUCGGGGAGGAACAGGGAGCGGAACCGGCGGUCGGACUCGAGGGCGUCGCGCCGCCUCUCGGACCUGGAGAACGAGGAGAAGAAGAAGUACCGCAGCGAGGCCGUGUUCCUGCCGAAGCCCCUCGACAGCUGAGCGGCCUCUCGAGAUGGCGGCGUCGACGGUGGCUAGUAUCGUCUGGGUACCUCGUCUACGUACCUACCCAGCUACUACAGCCACAUGAUGUUGCGAUGGUGGCCGAGCGCGAUCGAACGCAGGGCACGUUGAGGCUAGCUAGCUGCGCCGACAACUCACAGUUUGACCGAGGAGACCAGCGGCUACGAUCGACCUGCCAGCUCGAGCAGAGACCAGUCGACGUCGAUAUACGUAGAACAAUAAAUAUGGGCGAUCGUUCAUCCCGAAUC
rnacentral:rRNA from 1 species